rnacentral:rRNA from 1 species
UACGUAGGGGGCAAGCGUUGUCCGGAAUUAUUGGGCGUAAAGAGCGUGUAGGCGGUCCGGUAAGUCGGUUGUGAAAGCCCAGGGCUCAACCCUGGAAUUGCCUUUAAGACUGCAUCGCUUGAACAUCGGAGAGGUAAGUGGAAUUCCGAGUGUAGAGGUGAAAUUCGUAGAUAUUCGGAAGAACACCAGUGGCGAAGGCGACUUACUGGACGAUUGUUGACGCUGAGGUGCGAAAGCGUGGGGAGCAAACAGG